CAGGGGACCCCUGGAGAAGACUGUUCGCCCAGGCACGAUAGAGGGGAGGGGGUCCCCUCGGCAGUCAGUGCCUCCCUAAGACGGCCACAGCCUCGGUCCCCGCCGGCUUGCUGCACCCUGGCCCCGCCUCCCCAGCAGGCUUCAUGUGGCUGUCACCAGCGCCUGGGUAGCGCAGGAGGCGCCCCGGCUCUGCGCUCCUGCGCUCUGGGCUGGAACUCAGCCGGGUCAAUCCAGCGGGAUCGAGGGCAGGAGAGGGAAGCCCUCCUCCAGGGCGCUGGCAGGCCGCGGGCUCUGCUGCCCCACUCUCUCUCUCAGAGUUCCCCCUUGCUCCUGAAAGCUGGUUUUCGUCACUUGGAAGCCAGGGAACAAGUUUGGAAAGAAACCUCUCGCCAGGUCUCUUGUUAUUAAAGGUACAGGAUCUUUUUUUUUUUUUUUUAAGACUGGAAGGGAAACCUUGCAAAAUAGAAUUUAACUUGAAGGAGAAAACGGGAACAGGGUGAAUAGAAUUCCCACCACAGAAAUCGGUUUGCUAUUAACAUAUGGGGGGGGGGGAGGGUGAUUACCCUGCAGGAAUACUGCUUCACAUUUUAAAUAAGUACCAGUUAGAUUGGAUUUGUUAAGUAUGCCUAUCAUUAUCAUUUUCAAAAUUUUGUGACUUUGAAGGCAAAUUUGCCUUGUAAGACAUGGCAGUUUUGUUUGGAAAUGGUUAGUUAAGUAAAAUUUUUAAUAACAAUACCUGGGAAACAAUAGCAAUAUAGAAUACUGAUUAUUGCAGUAAUCAGUUGCUAGUCUGUACAGGAACAAAAGCUGAAAAUGGAAUUUUGCCGGUUUAAUAAGUAAGUGAACCACUGAGAGGAUAGUUUAAUCUUAUGAAAAACCAUCCAUGCUAAGCUUCUGCAUUGCAUCUUUAGCCUAACACCACUAUUGUCUCUUUUGAGAUACUUACAAGUUUUUGAAGCAUGUAGGGCUGGCACUCUUAUCUCCAUUUUCCAGAUGGAGAAACCUAGGGGCACAAUGGGAAACAAAUUGUUUACAGUUACAAAGUUAGAUUGUAGCAGAACCAGCACCCAUUAAGUCACAGGGUCUUUUCAUUUAAUUUAGAAAAAAAAAAGUAUUUUUUUUCACAAGGCCAUUUUAGUUUAUGAUCUCUGAG
rnacentral:lncRNA from 1 species